UUUUUUUUUUUUUUUUUUUUGUAAAUUUUUAAAUUUGAGUGUUUGUUGUGAGAGGGAAGGAGUACAGUCUGUUAUGGUGCUUAUCAGGAUAUUUGGACUUAUUAUUUCGUUUAUUUGAAUGAGAGCUGUUAAUUAUUAUUAAUUGAAUUUAAAUUUUAAUCUUUAAUUUUUUAAUUACUUAUCCUUGAAUUAAAUAAAAUUUUAAUUUUUUAUGCAUUU
rnacentral:misc_RNA from 1 species